rnacentral:rRNA from 1 species
UGUCUCAGUUCGGAUUGGAGGCUGAAACCCGCCUCCAUGAAGUUGGAUUCGCUAGUAAUCGCGCAUCAGCCAUGGCGCGGUGAAUACGUUCCCGGGCCUUGUACACACCGCCCGUCAAGCCAUGGGAGCCGGGGGUGCCUGAAGUUCGUGACCGCAAGGAGCGACCUAGGGCAAAACUGGUGACUGGGGCUAAGUCGUAACAAGGUAUC